rnacentral:rRNA from 1 species
UACGUAGGCAGCAAGCGUUGUUCGGAGUUACUGGGCGUAAAGGGUGUGUAGGCGGUUCUUUAAGUUUGGUGUGAAAUCUCCCGGCUCAACUGGGAGGGUGCGCCGAAUACUGAGGGACUAGAGUACGGGAGAGGAAAGUGGAAUUCCUGGUGUAGCGGUGAAAUGCGUAGAUAUCAGGAGGAACACCGGUGGUGUAGACGGCUUUCUGGACCGUAACUGACGCUGAGACACGAAAGCGUGGGGAGCAAACGGG